rnacentral:snRNA from 1 species
AUCGCUUCUUGGACUUUUGGCUAAGAUCAAGUGUAGUAUCUGUUCUUAUCAGUUUAAUAUCUGAUACAUCUUCUAUCAGAAGACAAUAUAUUAAACGGCUUUUUGAGACUAGGAGAUAGAAUAGGAGCUUGCUCCAUCCACUCCAUGCAUCAACCUGGUAUUGCAGUUACCUCCAGGAAUGGUAAACCAAAA